UGGACAAUUUGGCUGUCAAGCAAGGGAAGCUGCCUGGCCAGCAGCUGAACCAGGAGAGCUGAGUAACUUGAACAGGAAGAUGGAGCCUUACAUCUAAGGAAGAAUAAUCAAUAUAGAAGGAAUUUCAUAAGUCUAUUCCUUAAUCAUCUUUCUCAGAUGAUACAAUUUCAUCAUGACCAGUGAGUCUGGCUGUCCUUGCCCUGAACCUUGCACAGUGAUCUAGAUGGUACAAAUUUUUUCACAAGAAACACUUACUUGCCGGAGUUGGGCUGAGUCAUGCUGACAGGGAAGGAAGAAUCUACCUCUUCUCAGACAGAGGGAAGCGGGAGGACAGAGCCCCGAAUUGCACGCGGGUCCUUGGCCUUCUUUGGUGGACGC